rnacentral:rRNA from 1 species
GACGAACGCUGGCGGCGUGCUUAACACAUGCAAGUCGAACGGAAAGGCCCUGCUUUUGUGGGGUGCUCGAGUGGCGAACGGGUGAGUAACACGUGAGUAACCUGCCCUUGACUUUGGGAUAACUUCAGGAAACUGGGGCUAAUACCGGAUAGGAGCUCCUGCUGCAUGGUGGGGGUUGGAAAGUUUCGGCGGUUGGGGAUGGACUCGCGGCUGAUCAGCUGGUUGGUGGGGUAGUGGCUUACCAAGGCUGUGACGGGUAGCCGGCCUGAGAGGGUGACCGGGCACAUUGGGACUGAGGUAGGGCCCAGACUCCUACGGGAGGCAGCAGUGGGGAAUAUUGCACAAUGGGCGGAAGCCUGAUGCAGCAACGCCGCGUGCGGGAUGACGGCCUUCGGGUUGUAAACAGCUUUCGGCUGUGACGAAGCGUGAGUGACGGUAAUGGGUAAAGAAGCACCGGCUAACUACGUG